rnacentral:rRNA from 1 species
GACGAACGCUGGCGGCGUGCUUAACACAUGCAAGUCGAACGGAAAGGCCCUGCUUUUGUGGGGUGCUCGAGUGGCGAACGGGUGAGUAACACGUGAGUAACCUGCCCUUGACUUUGGGAUAACUUCAGGAAACUGGGGCUAAUACCGGAUAGGAGCUCCUGCUACAUGGUGGGGGUUGGAAAGUUUCGGCGGUUGGGGAUGGACUCGCGGCUUAUCAGCUUGUUGGUGGGGUAGUGGCUUACCAAGGCUUUGACGGGUAGCCGGCCUGAGAGGGUGACCGGACACAUUGGGACUGAGAUACGGCCCAGACUCCUACGGGAGGCAGCAGUGGGGAAUAUUGCACAAUGGGCGGGAGCCUAAUGCAGCAACGCCGCGUGCGGGAUGACGGCCUUCGGGUUGUAAACCGCUUUCGCCUGUGACGAAGCGUGAGUGACGGUAAUGGGUAAAGAAGCACCGGCUAACUACGUG